rnacentral:rRNA from 1 species
CACCUCUUGCAAUCAAUAAGAGGCCCAGCCUGCCCAGUGACUCUGUUCAACGGCCGCGGUAUCCUAACCGUGCUAAGGUAGCGUAAUCACUUGUUUUCUAAAUAAAGACUAGUAUGAAAGGCAUCACGAGGAUUAAGCUGUCUCCUUUCUCUAAUCAGUGAAACUAAUCUCCCCGUGAAGAGGCGGGGAUAACCUUAUAAGACGAGAAGACCCUAUGGAGCUUUAAACAUUAUUACAAUGCCUAUAAUAUUACAAAUACUACGGUUCCUACCACCACCCGCACACUGAUUUUAUGUUUUCGGUUGGGGUGACCGCGGAGAACAAAUUAUCCUCCACGAUGAAAAGAAACUCUUCUUAAACUAUAAGCUACAGCUUUAAUUAUCAUUAAUUUGACAUAAAUUGACCCAAUAUUUUGACCAACGAACCAAGUUACCCUAGGGAUAACAGCGCAAUCCACUUCAAGAGUCCUUAUCGACAAGUGGGCUUACGACCUCGAUGUUGGAUCAGGGUAUCCCAGUGGUGCAGCCGCUACUAAAGGUUCGUUUGUUCAACGAUUAAAACCC